rnacentral:ncRNA from 1 species
UAUAGCAUGGCACUGAAGAUGCCAAGAUGGAUACUUUCCCCCCAAGGACAAAAGACUUAGUCCUAACCUUACCGUUAAUUCUUGCUCAACAUAUACAUGCAAGUAUCCGCACCCCAGUGCAAAUGCCCCCAAACCCCUUACCAAGGCACAAGGAGCAGGCAUCAGGCACACUCCCCCAGUAGCCCAAGACGCCCUGCCCUGCCACACCCCCACGGGUACUCAGCAGUAAUUAACAUUAAGCAAUAGGCGUAAGCCUGACUUAGUUAGAGCAGCCAGGGUUGGUAAAUCUUGUGCCAGCCACCGCGGCCAUACAAGAAACCCAAAUUAACCGUACACGGCGUAAAGAGUGGCUCAAGACUAUCAAAGCAAAUUAAGACUAAACCCCGACCCAGGCCGUCACAAGCCCAAGAUCUCACGAAACCCAACCUAAAAACGGUCUUAACACCAACGACCAAUCCAACCCCACGAAAGCCAGGAUACAAACUGGGAUUAGAUACCCCACUAUGCCUGGCCCUAAAUCUCGAUGCUUCCCAAACAUAAGCAUCCGCCCGAGAACUACGAGCACAAACGCUUAAAACUCUAAGGACUUGGCGGUGCCCUAAACCCACCUAGAGGAGCCUGUUCUAUAAUCGAUAACCCACGAUCUACCUGACCACUUCUUGCCAAAACAGCCUACAUACCGCCGUCCCCAGCCCACCUUUGUGAAAGCACAACAGUGAGCCCAACAGCCUAUACUCCGCUAGUAAGACAGGUCAAGGUAUAGCCUAUGAAGUGGAAGAAAUGGGCUACAUUUUCUAAAAUAGAACACCUAACGAAAGGGGGCCUGAAACCCACCCCCAGAAGGCGGAUUUAGCAGUAAAGGAGGAUAAUCAAGCCUCCUUUAAGCCGGUCCUAGGGCACGUACACRCCGUACCUCUAUMGCCCAA